GUCUACCGCCAUGCCACCCUGUGGAAUGUGCCUGAUCCCGUCUGAUCACGGAAGCUAAGCAGGGUGGGGCCUGGUUAGUACUUGGAUGGGAGACCACCUGAUAAAUACCAGGUGCUGUAGGUG
rnacentral:rRNA from 1 species